ACACACACACACACACACAAGUUCAAAAGGUUUUAUCCUUAAAGUGAUACAUUGUAAGUUAAUUUAACGAAAUGAUAUAAUUUGAAAACAUGAAAUCAUUUAACUUUCUGAAGAAAUUAAAUAGCAUCUAGCCAGUAGCCACCCAUUGACAGACAUUAUACAAUGGAGAUUCAUUGUUUCAAGUUCCAGCUUACUAUUUAAUUUUUUUUGUCUUCCUUUGUGGUAUGAAUGAGAUUACAGAUUAGACAGGAUCAUAUAAAUUAUUCCAAAAGUAGAGUAGCAAAAAAAAUUUGGUGAUUCCCAUGACUACAAAUGUACAGCAUUGCACUUUCUCUCUGUUCCUUUUCUUUCUUUCUUUCUUUCUUCUUCUUCUUCAGUGUCCUUGAUAGUUUGAUUUUAGACACUGUUUAUUUUCAUGCAAACCCAUGCUAAUAAUAAAAGCUAUGGGGUGCAAAAUGUUUUGAAGAAGUAAAAGUUAUAAGAAAGUAUACCUAAAAGUUAAGGUUUGCACAGAUUGAGACUUUUUAUUGUUCUACAUAACUAGGUUGCUGUAAAGCAUAAAAUUCUUAAAUUUAUUUGGAACAAAUUACAGAAUUGAAUAAAUUAGGAUAGAUGAAAGUUUUAAAUAUGACUCUGAUGUGCAUAUCCUUUUAUGGUACUCUUUAUUUUCUCUCUCUUUUUCAUCUUCCUUUACAUUGUAUCAUCAAUUAUGAGCUAUUUCUUGGAAAAAAGUUAUCAUUUUUUAUAUCAAUCAAGUGUGUGUGUUGUUAACUUUUCCAACUAGUAUUUAGCUUGGUUUUACUCUUACAGAAUAAAUUUUUUAAUAUUUGGCAUUUCAGAUAGUUUAAUGUUCAUUUUUGUAUUUAUUUAUUUUUAUUAUUUAAGAAAUCAACCACAGGAAGUCUUUCAAAAUUUGCACAUCUUCUAGAAAUGUGAUCAUUAGAUUCAAUGAAUCGGCCCUCUCUUGAUGAUCUUUUGAAAAAUGUUGUUAUUGGAAUGCUGACAACAAAUGACUUUUUAAUUAUUUAUCUAUGGAGUUGUGGUUUCAUGCUUUUACGCAUUGUGGCUUUUU
rnacentral:misc_RNA from 1 species